rnacentral:rRNA from 1 species
CAAUAGCGUAUAUUAAAGUUGUUGCAGUUAAAAAGCUCGUAGUUGGAUUUCUGGUGGGAGCGAUCGGUCUGGCGCUUAGCGCGAGUACUUGCAUCGUCUCCGGCCAUCCUUGGGGAGAGUCUGUCUGGCAUUAGGUUGUCGGGCAGAGGAUCCUCAUCGUUUACUGUGAAAAAAUUAGAGUGUUCAAAGCAGGCUUAUGACGUUGAAUAUAUUAGCAUGGAAUAAUAAGAUAGGACUUUGGUACUAUUUUGUUGGUUUGCGCACCAAAGUAAUGAUUAAUAGGGACAGUUGGGGGUAUUCGUAUUCCGUUGUCAGAGGUGAAAUUCUUGGAUUUACGGAAGACGAACUACUGCGAAAGCAUUUACCAAGGAUGUUUUCAUUA